rfam:Mycoplasma sp. CAG:472 genomic scaffold, scf128
GCAGAUUUAGUUUAAUGGUAGAACCUUAGCCUUCCAAGCUAAUGAUGGGAGUUCGAUUCUCCUAAUCUGCU